rnacentral:tRNA from 1 species
GGCGACGUGGGCCGCGGCGACUCGGUCGCCGUCAUCGGCUGCGGCGGCGUCGGCGACGCGGCGAUCGCCGGUUCCCGGCUGGCCGGCGCGGC